AGUUUGAUCAUGGCUCAGGACAAACGCUGGCGGGGUGCAUGAGACAUGCAAGUCGAACGGGGUUCAUCGGGCUUGCUCGAUGAACCUAGUGGCGGACGGCUGAGUAACGCGUAGGUGACCUACCCGGAAGUGGGGAAUAACUGCCCGAAAGGGUGGCUAAUACCGCAUGUGGUCGACGAUUCGCUUCGUCGUCCAAAGCCGCAAGGCGCUUCCGGCGGGGCCUGCGUCCGAUUAGCUAGUUGGUGGGGUAACGGCUCACCAAGGCGACGAUCGGUAGCUGGUCUGAGAGGAUGAUCAGCCAGACUGGGACUGAGACACGGCCCAGACUCCUACGGGAGGCAGCAGUCGGGAAUUUUGCCCAAUGGACGAAAGUCUGAGGCAGCAACUCCGCGUGAGGGACGAAGGCCUUCGGGUCGUAAACCUCUUUUCUCAGGGAAGAUACAAGACGGUACCUGAGGAAUAAGCCACGGCUAACUACGUGCCAGCAGCCGCGGUAAUACGUAGGUGGCGAGCGUUGUCCGGAUUUACUGGGCGUAAAGCGCGCGCAGGCGGCUGGUCA
rnacentral:rRNA from 1 species